GGCCCCAUCGUCUAGAGGCCGAGGACACCACCCUCUCAAGGUGGAGACACGGGUUCGAAUCCCGUUGGGGCUG
rnacentral:tRNA from 2 species